GAUGAACGCUGGCGGCGUGCCUAAUACAUGCAAGUCGAACGAACAGACAAGGAGCUUGCUCCUUCGCCGUUAGCGGCGGACGGGUGAGUAACGCGUAGAUCACAUACUUAUAUUACUGGGAUAACUUCGGGAAACCGGUGAUAAUACCAGAUCAUAUUUCGAACCGCUGGAUUCAAUAGUGAUAGAUGCCUUGCCUGUCUCUUUUAGCUGAUCCUGCGCCGGAUUAGCUAGUUGGUAAGGUAACGGCUUACCAAGGCAACGAUACGUAGCCGACCUGAGAGGGUGAUCGGCCACACUGGAACUGAGACACGGUCCAGACUCCUACGGGAGGCAGCAGUAGGGAAUCUUGCGCAAUGGGCGAAAGCCUGACGCAGCAACGCCGCGUGAGUGAAGAAGGUCUUCGGAUCGUAAAGCUCUGUUAUUAGGGAAGAACAAACGUGUAAGUAAAUGUGGACGUCUUGACGGUACCUAAUCAGAAAGCCACGGCUAACUACGUG
rnacentral:rRNA from 1 species